rnacentral:piRNA from 1 species
UAGUUAAAAGAACCAAGGUUCAGGUGGGA